rnacentral:tRNA from 1 species
GAGGGUGAAGCUCAGGUGGCAGAGCAUAUGCCUAGCAAGCACAAGGUCCUGGGUUCAAUCCCCAGUACCUCCU